rnacentral:rRNA from 1 species
CGAACGGGUGAGUAACGCGUGAGGAACCUGCCUCAAAGAGGGGGACAACAGUUGGAAACGACUGCUAAUACCGCAUAAGCCCACGGCUCGGCAUCGAGCAGAGGGAAAAGGAAUGAUCCGCUUUGAGAUGGCCUCGCGUCCGAUUAGCUAGUUGGUGAGGUAACGGCCCACCAAGGCGACGAUCGGUAGCCGGACUGAGAGGUUGAACGGCCACAUUGGGACUGAGACACGGCCCAG